GAUGAAGAACGCAGCGAAAUGUGAUAAGUAAUGUGAAUUGCAGAAUUCCGUGAAUCAUCGAAUCUUUGAACGCACAUUGCGCCCCCUGGCAUUCCGGGGGGCAUGCCUGUCCGAGCGUCAUUUCUGCCCUCCAGCCCGGCUGGGUGUUGGGCGCUGUCCCCCCGGGGACACGCCCCAAAGGCAGUGGCGGCGCCGCGUCGGGUCCUCGAGCGUAUGGGGCUUUGUCACCCGCUCGGGACGGACUCGUCGGCGCUGGUCUUCCUCCAGGCGACCCUUCGGGGCUCGUCUUCCUUCGGUUGACCUCGGAUCAGGAAGGGUUACCCGCUGAACUUAAGCAUAUCAAUAAGCGGAGGA
rnacentral:misc_RNA from 1 species